AGGUCUCCUCAGCAUGGAUUUCAGGUUCCCGGACGGGGGAGGGGGAAGGGGAGGAAGGAGAAUGCCGCUUACCUCUCCCCACCAAAGCCUCUCCAAGCUCGGGGAGCCAGGGGUGGCCAAGCAGAGAGGGCGAGAGCCCGGGGCCGGAGGCCAAACGCCGGCGGGGGAAGCUCGGAAACCAGCUCCUCCCCUGAGCAGCCGUCCGCUCGCGAAGGGGAAGCCGACGCCCCCGGCAGCCAAACCCACACGACCCACGCCCUGAGGUCUGGGUCACUGCGCCAGGAACGCGGAGAAAGCCACGGGCUCCCAAACCUGCCAGGCGCUUCUGGCCAGGCCGCUACCUCGCCGCCCCUUGCUUGCUGGUCGCCCUGGACGCUGUCGGUGACUUCUGCCGCAUUGGGGCAGGGAGGCUGCAGCCGCGGGGGGUGGAGGGCUGGAUGGGCAGGAAGGCGGAGGGGGCCCUCGACUUGCGUCCGCGUCCUGGCUGGAGGCGUCUGAGGCGGGGGUCCUUGUGGCCGCCUCGGUCUCUGUGCAGUACCCACCUCUCUCUCUCUCUCUCUCUCUCUCUCUCUGCCUGUCUGUCUGCGUCUCUCUCCCUCCCUCUUUCCUUCUCCCUCUUUCAUUCUCCCUCCCUCUCUUUCUCUCCCUCUCUCUCUGCCACUCUCGCUUGGGUCCCCGGGGCCACCACGUCCGACCUGCCCUAGGACCUUCCAUGGAGGCAAGCCCUGUUAUUCCUCAGUGCCCUUCAGGGAAAAGCACCACCGGAAAAUCACCCGAUUGGGAAAGCGGCUUGAUGUCAGAGAGGUGGAGGGUGCCUUCAGGACAAAGGAAGAUCGGGUUCCACAAACACGGGGGGAUUUGGUUCCAGAGCCGUUCCCACGCCCUGCGAAAGUGGAUCACCUGGAGGAGUAGGCAGCACAGAGGCUGGGGAGGCUUUGCGCACUGGGGACUUUUUCAGGCGUGAGACUAGAGGAGGAGGGCACUGUGCCCUGCCAAGCAGAAGAGGGGUGAUUUACACAAAAACUGUACAAGACCAGAACAUGUCUGAAGACCAAAUCUGUGGUUGUUUAUGGAAUUAUUCCUUUUUCUCCAGGAAGGACUGUACUUAACCCAUCCCCUAAUAAAAUGUUUACUAGUUUUUGCA
rnacentral:lncRNA from 1 species